AAGGUUCCAAAAUUAAUUAUCUUAUGGUUGAAUAGUGAACAAAAAAGAGUCCACCAUGGAAUAUUAAUCCACCAUCGAAUUCAACUAUCCAAUGGAGCAGGCGAAGCUGCCGUCUGCGAGGAAGGGCAACCACUGGAAAUUCUAAAAGAUCUGAAGAGGCCAAUUUAAACUUGGGUUCAGCUUAGCACAAGUGCCAUGACUAGGGUCUGAGGCUCAAUUCAGGGGUCCUGCUAGACCAUAGAUUUGACAGACAGAAGUGUGCAGUUGGUGAGCCUCCCUUACAUAAGAAGGCCUUUCUUAGAGUAUUGUUAUUUCAUUAUGGUACUGGUCCAAUUGGGGGCCUUGUCCCAGUUUUAAGUAAGAUGUUGGUUUUGAUGUAUUAGAUAUUUUGCAAACUGAUGUUAAGUUCUAUUAGGAGUUUAUCAAAUUUCAUCUUAGGAUUUGU